ACGAAGGGUGCAAGCGUUAAUCGGAAUUACUGGGCGUAAAGGGCGCGUAGGCGGCCGAUCAAGUCAGGCGUGAAAUUCCCGGGCUCAACCUGGGGGCUGCGCUUGAUACUGAUUGGCUUGAAUGCGGGAGAGGAUAGUGGAAUUCCCAGUGUAGAGGUGAAAUUCGUAGAUAUUGGGAAGAACACCAAUUGCGUAGGCAGCUUACUACACGAUCAUUGACGCUGAGGCACGAAAGCGUGGGGAGCAAACAGGA
rnacentral:rRNA from 1 species